GCGGUUGGGCCGAGGGAGACGGCCUCAGUGGCCGAGGUGGCUGGACGCGUAGCAGGUGGAAGGAGGGAGGGAGCCGCAGGCGCAGACCCACCCGCCAUGAAGCCCCCCGCAGCCUGUGCAGGAGACGUGGCGGACGCAGCAUCUCCGUGUUCUGUGCUAAACGACCUGCGAUGGGACCUGAGCGCCCAGCAGAUAGAGGAGCGCACCAGGGAGCUCAUUGAGCAGACCAAACGCGUGUACGACCAGGUCGGCACCCAGGAGUUUGAGGACGUGUCCUACGAGAGCACGCUCAAGGCGCUGGCCGAUGUGGAGGUCACCUACACAGCACGUUUCCCCCUCCAAGGACAUUCGGACGGCCAGCACGGAGGCCGACAAGAAGCUCUCUGAGUUCGACGUGGAGAUGAGCAUGAGGGAGGACGUG
rnacentral:sRNA from 1 species